AAAGAGAAACCUUGAUUUGCACCAAGAUUUGCCGUUCCUGGAAAAAAUUAAAAGAGAAGAUGCUUAUUUGAGGAGCACAAUAUACAUAUUUGAUGGAAACCUGCCAUUAAUAGUUUAGAAAACAGCUUGGUCCAAGGAUCAUCACUUUGAGUAGCACCGCUUUCAAAUGCGUCAUGUUACCAAAAAGAAUCUCACCAAAGUUGAAGGAAGCGCCACCGAAAUGAUUUAUUAGCGAUUCAGCUGAAAAGGAUGCAAAGCAGCAAUCAUUCACCAAGCUGAGCAUAACAUGUACACAAAUAAAUGCCAUUUUUAUAGAAA